CAGUCGCCGCGGGAAUACGUAGGUGGCAAGCGUUGUCCGGAAUUAUUGGGCGUAAAGCGCGCGCAGGUGGUUUAAUAAGUCUGAUGUGAAAGCCCACGGCUCAACCGUGGAGGGUCAUUGGAAACUGUUAAACUUGAGUGCAGGAGAGAAAAGUGGAAUUCCUAGUGUAGCGGUGAAAUGCGUAAAGAUUAGGAGGAACACCAGUGGCGAAGGCGGCUUUUUGGCCUGUAACUGACACUGAGGCGCGAAAGCGUGGGGAGCAAACAGGAUUAGAUACCCCUGUAGUCCCUGUCUCUUAUAC
rnacentral:rRNA from 1 species